rnacentral:misc_RNA from 1 species
CUUUUUUUUUUUUUUUUGGUGUUUGAAAACACCAUCUAAUUCUUACUUCGAUGGAAAUUUCACCUUCUUGAGAAUCAAUUAAACGGCAAGGAUUGAGGAAUGCCCACUGUACUAAUUUUUUUAAACACCAGGGAAGGAUUCAAGGAUGCAGAUUGAGCAUGAUUAGUUCAGGACUGGAUCUUGGAAAGGUUUUGUGAAAACUAGGCAAGAGGCACAUUCUUUGAGGAGUGCAUUUGACAAAGGUUGCUUGUGGAAGCUAGAAUCUAUUUUUUAUUACCCUUGGGAAGAUGGGAUUUCGGGAAAUAUGCCAUGGCAUGUGCACUGCAUGAUAUGAGUGUG